GUGUGUGUGUGUGUGUGUGUGUGUGUGUGUGUAAUUUACAGUAACAUGACUUAACCCAAACUUACAUGAGGUCCUUACAUGUAGUAGGAGUACAAUAGUUUGAGUUUUAUGUUGACAAAUCCACUGGGCACCGUAAGUUAACUUUACUGCAUGCAGUGUUGACAUGAAAGCCAUUUGCCCCAAAGAUUGUUUUUAGUUAAAAAAAAAAAAUCUGCUGUGGCCUAGCCAUUUCUGUGUGGUUAACACUGACCACUGUGAUGAAUGUACAGAAUCACAAGCUGAAAGAAACUAGACCACGUGUUCUGUAACUCACCUCUGUUAGUCUGUUGCAGUGUUUACAUGACUGCUAAUCUCAGCAUGGUUACUGUCAGGCUAUCAGAGCCCAUGCAAAUGUGCCUGAACAGCAGGAAUUUGUGUGAAGAUAAUUGUUAAGUACCUGAGGAGAGUUGUCAUUCCUGUCUCUUUGAUGAACCUCAUCCGUAUUCACCAACAACAUGUAAUCAAGAUGAAAAGCCCUUUAUCUGCUCACCAAUCUAACGUGCAUAAAUAGUUGAGGCCAGGCUAUGCUGCUCCAGAGAAAUGUCUCCUUUAACUGCGUGGGUGUAGUCGUGUUUCAGCCCAGAGCUUCAGCCCCAGUUGUGGGGGUGUGUGGGGGUGUAGCGUUGAGAUCUGGAGAGGCCGGUAACAAGGAUGACACGCCCCCCCCGCUGGCUGGUCGACCACAGCGGAGGGAGACGAGCUUCACAUACAGAGCUCCGUCUGUCUGAGGGUGGAUAUGUGCGGGACAUGUGUUGCACUGUAUAUGUCUUGUGUUAUGUACUUCAUAAGUCUGAGCGUGUGUGUCACAGGGCCACACAGGGACCAAGUAGGCCAGGGUAUCUGCCUGUUAGCCAGAGUAACAUUGUAUCAUAUGUGUCCUUUGGCUCUGCCAGGUGACUGGGGGGCACGGGGAGGUCAGGGAGCAGGGUUCUAUGAGGGGGCAAUUCAGCGGGAACAUUGCAUCCAACAGGUUGUGUACAUUAUAGCCAGGCCAUAUGGUUGAAAUCAAUAUUUCUUUAUAUUUAAAAUACUUUUUGUGAUAAUGAUACCUACAUGUAUGCAAACACCUAUGUAAAUAUAUGCAUAUUGCAGUGAACUGGGCAUUAUAUUUGACAAUAGUGUUCAUGUUAUUUCUUAAGUUACAGUUUGCGUUAAAUCAUUCAUUUACAAUCAAAAUACACUAUGUCCAUAUCCAUAUCAUCACAAAGCUGCUUAACUGAAAUAUGAUAAACACUGAUAUUGCCCAACCCUACUGUGUAAACAACAAUCUUUUUAUAGUAUUUGUAGAUAUUGCCUGUGUGAGUAGACAACCACGUGCAUACACAGAGAGACGGUAUUCUUCUCACAACCUAAAGCUGAACUACAGCCUAAUAUUUGGUGUCAGUGCUCUCUGCAGAAGGGUCUGUGUGGUUUAGCUCCCAGAUCUCCCUUACAACCACCACAAGUCCCAGCUAGUUAACAGCUGUGUUAUCUAUGUAAUGCCCAAACUGGUAGUAGGUUUCCUCCAAGGCUUAGCUACAGAUUGUGCGAUUAGACAUGAACCGAGCUGAAGUUUAACGCUGCCUUUAUAAAAUCAGUUGUGUUCAGUUUUACUGAUGACCCGGCUUGUCAUGGGAGAUGAUCAUGUGAUGUGGUUGCCAUGGUUAAGGGCGGUUGGGAUGUGGUAUGGCAGCUCGGGUGGGUGGCCUUGUGACCUAUGGUAGUUCAGCCACUGCUGGUAUGGUGACUGUAAGAGAGGAGGGUGUCGGUCUGUUUGAUCAUCUCCCUCUGAGUUUCCAGAAACUUAUAUUUUCUUUGCUCAUGACAGGAAGUGUGUUUUUACUUUUGGCUAUGUACAUAUAUUUGUUGAGGUUUUACAGCAUUGGACACAUGUUCGCUUCCUCGGUUGCAAUGAACUAAAUAUAGAUGCUUAAAAAAAAGAUAAUUAAGAUAAGGGUUACGUGUGUUGUUUGCUGCACUGAUCCUCCGCUCUUUCUUUGCAGUUGGUAGCAGUUGCUCUGGCAGGAAGUGUUGCGACAGAGGCAGUGAGAGUGGGUGGUGUGUGUUUGCAUUUUCUACAUUGGACUUAAUCACUAUAUAGGCUCCAUGUUGAAUUACAGACUGCUCUUUCUCUCCCAGCGUCAUCAUGCUAUUUUUGAGGCUCUGUUGUGUUCAAGAGUGGUUUUCUCCUGGUUCUCUUGGCAGAUGUGCCGGUUAUGUACUGUAUCUGUGCUCUCUACAAAUCUCUUUGACUCUAUUAGCCUCUCCUUUUCAACACGUUGUUUACUUUGACACAUCACAUGACAUAUAAUUCAAUAAAUGCGUUUCGACAGUUGCAUUUUAGUUGUAAUGCGGCAGCAUUGUUCAUUUAGUAGUUUGUCUCACACUCAUUUCUUUUUGUACGUAGCAUUACCAUAACAACACAGAAAUAACCAUUGUCUCCUUAUUUGUCUUCCCCUCGAAGGUUGAAUGAGCUUUGUUUUUGCUCUCUUUCUCUCUCUCACACACACACACAUACACACACACACACUGCAGUUAACUCACAUUGUGCACAUUUAAACCCACUGCAGUUUAGAUUCCGGCUGCAUUCCAACACCAAAACUUUGUCCAGACACAAGCAGCAGAGACAUCGCUCUCCUCUAUUGUAAACGGUUCCCUUUCCUUAUCACCCAGUUAUUACUUAGUCCAUGGGUCUUUGACCAUACUGCAAUUAGGAGUGGUAUCUUGCCAUAAGAUUGACGGUGGAUUGUGAGCAGUCUUCAAAUAUGUAUGUAUAUAUUUUUGCUGGAGAAAGUUGUGUCUAUCACAAUAGUUUAGAAGAGUGGGCUUGAUGGUGUAAACUAUUUUUUCUACUGGACUGAGGAAACAUAACAAGGGGUUGUGACUGAUUAUUCGUUCAGUUUUCUCUAAUCUAUGAUUCCCGGAGUGGCCUUCUCAUUCAGAGCGGACUAUGUUGAGAUGGGAAUGUCCCGGAAUUCCUCUCAUUCUUGUCAUUCCUUCAACUGUAAUGUCUGGACAUGUCUUUAGCUGAAAGAGCAAUGGGUUGGGAUGUGACGAGGAGUUGUUUACGUGUACUUUAUGGUUCAUUUCAGGGCUGUUGUCCUCUCAAGUCUGAUUGUAAAUUACUUUUCCUUGUUCCCCAGCUUUUCUUUUCUUUCUUUUUUUUUUUCUUUCUUGAUUGAGACCAAGAACAAACACAAAGGUAGAGAAAGAGAGAGCAGCUGAGAUAACGGAUGAAAGCAAGUGCAGGGUUUGUCUGGACCUCCAGAUACCGCCCCACUGCGUCACAAGAUGGACCCCGCUGGGCACGUCAAUCUGCUCUUUAUACUCAUCUUUAGAUGAUCAUAGCACAGUUCCCUUAGUUCACACCAGAGCUCGAUCUGACAAGGAAACUACGCCAAAUGAGCCAGCUAGACAGUACUAGUUGCUUGCAGUGUUCCCAGUGUGGAUAAAUAACUUUUCUUCAAGGACAAGGAAUGCUUAAAGAUAUGAUUUGUAAUUGAGUUCAGUGGAAAUCAGUGUUUUAAUUAUGAUGGAGGUGGAAAGCAGGUCAUUCAAUUUGUGUGCAAUUUGAUCUUUCUGGAGGUAGAAUUAAAUACGUAAUUCUCAAGAAUUUAGGGUAUUAGGCAUUCAAUAACAUCUCGGUUAACAUGUUACCUUUGGCCUGACUGAGCCAGGCACUGUGUCAGUCACUUGGCUGCUUUUGCUCUCCAGUCGGCCUCAGCUGGUUUGGGUGUGGUUUUUCUUUUACUUGAGGAUUUACGAGAAGUGAACGGCCUUGAAUACUUGUAGUUUGUUUGUGUGCCUGUUUGAUCAUAGGCCUUCAUAAGAUGUUUAGAAGUGAUGCAUUGGGUCACAUUUUGAGAAAGGAAAACAACAUAAUUUGGACCCGACUAUGUGAUUUGUUUGAUUUUGGAAUGUUUGGGUGAAACCACCGAAGAGGCAAGUUAGAAGUUGGUAACUAUUGGUUGUCAUAAUGCCCUGGGGGAUUUUCUGGUGGGAUAUAAUAAUUCUGCACCCUCACCAUAAGGACGUCUGAGGUCAGCAACACAAAGGCAUAUCUGGAUUGGGUUGAACUUGCUAUUUUUAAAUCCAUUACACAGUUUGUGUGUAAAGUUCUUUAAAAAUCAAACAAUUGGUCUACUAAAUCGGAUUACAUCUUCAAAAAAAAGUAUAUAUAUAUAUUUUCUUUUUAAGAAAGAAUGCUAAUCUGGAGCACCAUCCAAUGAAGUCACUGGAGCAUCGUGAGCAGUUGUAAAUAGCUACUUUAAUAAUAACUACAACCUAACAGCAAAUACUUUUAACGGUGGGUAUUACUUGGUUUUUAUCUUUCAUUCUUGCACACAUGCAGGAACGUGGGUUUCAGAGUAUUCAUGUAAUAACAUCAGUGGGAAAUAUGCUUAUCUACCUGACAUCAUUUUCUCACAAGUUAUUGUCCUUGUGUUUUGUCAUUCGAGGUCAGAUAUUACACUUUGAUCUAACUAUUAUCAAGCUCACAUUAGCUGAGGAGUUUAAAUCAUUCCUAAUCUUUUUGUGAUACCCAAAUCUCCCCCCAGUCUCCACAGUUAUUACGAGGCUCAGUUUGGUGGCUCCUGGUGGAAGUUAGCAUUGUGCUAUGGACACUAUAGCACGACCGGAUGCUUGAUGUCAAUGGGGUCUGAACCCUGGCCUUCUGAAGAGGGUUUGUGGCAUCCUCCUCCAGGGUCUGCUCCUGGGUCAUGUGACUGCCUCCCACCACGCUGGUGUUGCCCUCCUGUCACCACAGCAACAUGAGCAUUCUGACUAACAGGCAGAGACAUCUGUGACCUUUCUCACUCAUUUGCAAUCUCAUUUAUUUUUCUCAUUCCAUCAUUUCCCCCCCUCCUCUUCUGAGCUUCUAAAUGUUGUCAUCAAUUCUCUGUAUUCUGUCAUUUCGGAAACACCUUUUUCAUUCAAUUUGGUAUGUUAUUCCAUUCUAGCAAUGUUCCACUUUGUGAGAACUGUUUUUAGAUAGGUACCAUGUUACUGUCUACUGCAAAUCAAGUUAUGUAAUCUUGUUCAGUCUCUCAGUCCAGAUUCAUCAUCACACUUUUCUCUGGAGGCAGGGUUAUGCAACAUCUCUGUUAUAACCUGAGCAACUAGGGGGCAGAAAAAAUACCUUGUGGGAGACAGACGCUAAAAAAGGAAUAGCUGACAUUGUGUAUAGUAGGAAGUACGUGUGAGAUGCCUUACUGCCUUGUUGAGAAGAGUUCUGACGAUAUAUGUGUUUGUCAUCGUGUUCAUAGGGAUAGUCAGUAUGGAUACCUCCAACACAACAUAUGGGAAUAAUGGCCUUGACAAUGCCAAAAUGUCAUGUUCAUAACUUUACCAAAAACAAUAAAUCAGCCCGUCGACACAGUAAAACACCCA